rnacentral:rRNA from 1 species
GAUGAACGCUGGCGGCGUGCCUAAUACAUGCAAGUCGAGCGAACAGAUGAGGAGCUUGCUCCUCUGACGUUAGCGGCGGACGGGUGAGUAACACGUGGAUAACCUACCUAUAAGACUGGGAUAACUUCGGGAAACCGGAGCUAAUACCGGAUAAUAUAUUGAACCGCAUGGUUCAAUAGUGAAAGACGGUUUUGCUGUCACUUAUAGAUGGAUCCGCGCCGCAUUAGCUAGUUGGUAAGGUAACGGCUUACCAAGGCAACGAUGCGUAGCCGACCUGAGAGGGUGAUCGGCCACACUGGAACUGAGACACGGUCCAGACUCCUACGGGAGGCAGCAGUAGGGAAUCUUCCGCAAUGGGCGAAAGCCUGACGGAGAACGCCGCGUGAGUGAUGAAGGUCUUCGGAUCGUAAAACUCUGUUAUUAGGGAAGAACAAAUGUGUAAGUAACUAUGCACGUCCUGACGGUACCUAAUCAGAAAGCCACGGCUAACUACGUG